CCGGUAGGUUUCUGAAAUACCGAUUGAUAGGCUGACUUCUCUUCUCUCUUCUUUUUUCUUGUUUUAUUUUACUAAUUUUCCUUCUUCUGAUAGGUAAACUCAAGCAGCCGAGCCCUAAGCAGAGUGAGAUCCGGCAGCUCGACAGAGUGAGGCUGAGAGUACCCGCUGCCGAGCGAGUUUACCCACGCUUCCUCUUCACCGACAACCUCGUCAGAGCCGGC
rnacentral:lncRNA from 1 species